UACGGAGGGUGCGAGCGUUGUCCGGAAUCACUGGGCGUAAAGGGCGCGUAGGUGGUUAGAUGCGCCGGUGGUGAAAGCGCAGGGCUCAACCCUGCGUCGGCCAUCGGGACGGUCUGACUUGAGCACUGUAGAGGCAGGUGGAAUUCCGGGUGUAGCGGUGGAAUGCGUAGAGAUCCGGAAGAACACCGGCGGCGAAGGCGGCCUGCUGGGCAGUAGCUGACACUGAGGGACGAAAGCGUGGGGAGCAAACAGG
rnacentral:rRNA from 1 species